AAAUUGAAGAGUUUGAUCAUGGCUCAGAUUGAACGCUGGCGGCAGGCCUAACACAUGCAAGUCGAACGGUAACAGAAAGCAGCUUGCUGCUUUGCUGACGAGUGGCGGACGGGUGAGUAAUGUCUGGGAAACUGCCUGAUGGAGGGGGAUAACUACUGGAAACGGUAGCUAAUACCGCAUAACGUCGCAAGACCAAAGAGGGGGACCUUCGGGCCUCUUGCCAUCGGAUGUGCCCAGAUGGGAUUAGCUUGUUGGUGGGGUAACGGCUCACCAAGGCGACGAUCCCUAGCUGGUCUGAGAGGAUGACCAGCCACACUGGAACUGAGACACGGUCCAGACUCCUACGGGAGGCAGCAGUGGGGAAUAUUGCACAAUGGGCGCAAGCCUGAUGCAGCCAUGCCGCGUGUAUGAAGAAGGCCUUCGGGUUGUAAAGUACUUUCAGCGGGGAGGAAGGGAGUAAAGUUAAUACCUUUGCUCAUUGACGUUACCCGCAGAAGAAGCACCGGCUAA
rnacentral:rRNA from 1 species